AUUGAACGCUGGCGGCAUGCCUUACACAUGCAAGUCGAACGGCAGCACGGGUGCUUGCACCUGGUGGCGAGUGGCGAACGGGUGAGUAAUACAUCGGAACGUACCUUAUCGUGGGGGAUAACGCAGCGAAAGCUUUGCUAAUACCGCAUACGCCCUGAGAGGGAAAGCGGGGGAUCGAAAGACCUCGCGCGACUAGAGCGGCCGAUGCCUGAUUAGCUUGUUGGUGGGGUAAAAGCCCACCAAGGCGACGAUCAGUAGCUGGUCUGAGAGGACGAUCAGCCACACUGGGACUGAGACACGGCCCAGACUCCUACGGGAGGCAGCAGUGGGGAAUUUUGGACAAUGGGGGCAACCCUGAUCCAGCAAUGCCGCGUGAGUGAAGAAGGCCUUCGGGUUGUAAAGCUCUUUUGUCAGGGAAGAAGCACCGGCUCUAACACAGUCCGGGAAUGACGGUACCUGAAGAAUAAGCACCGGCUAACUACGUGCCAGCCGCCGCCGUAA
rnacentral:rRNA from 1 species